rnacentral:ncRNA from 1 species
CUGGUUGAUCCUGCCAGUAGUCAUAUGCUUGUCUCAGAGAUUAAGCCAUGCAUGUCUAAGUACAUACCUUAAAACGGUGAAACCGCGAAUGGCUCAAUAAAUCAGCUAUCGUUCCUUAGAUCGUAAACGCUGCAUGGAUAACAGUAGUAAUUCUAGAGCUAAUACAUGCCUUGAAUCCCUGACCCAUUAUCCAUCUGAGCGCUAUUUAAAAAGGACAGUGGUAUUUUUCCUCGUUGAGUAAAUUCUAUUGUUUUGAUCGUUAUUAACGUAUCGAGAAUACUGUUUUAUACUUUGAUUGAAUUUCUUUCAGUUAAAGUAUUCGACUAGAGUAUCAUUUUUGGUAUCCUAAAUAGUUUUAUCAUCGGUACUCCAGAGUACCUU